AAUUGAAGAGUUUGAUCAUGGCUCAGAUUGAACGCUGGCGGCAGGCCUAACACAUGCAAGUCGAGCGGUAGCACAGAGAGCUUGCUCUCGGGUGACGAGCGGCGGACGGGUGAGUAAUGUCUGGGAAACUGCCUGAUGGAGGGGGAUAACUACUGGAAACGGUAGCUAAUACCGCAUAAUGUCGCAAGACCAAAGUGGGGGACCUUCGGGCCUCAUGCCAUCAGAUGUGCCCAGAUGGGAUUAGCUAGUAGGUGGGGUAACGGCUCACCUAGGCGACGAUCCCUAGCUGGUCUGAGAGGAUGACCAGCCACACUGGAACUGAGACACGGUCCAGACUCCUACGGGAGGCAGCAGUGGGGAAUAUUGCACAAUGGGCGCAAGCCUGAUGCAGCCAUGCCGCGUGUGUGAAGAAGGCCUUCGGGUUGUAAAGCACUUUCAGCGGGGAGGAAGGCGUUAAGGUUAAUAACCUUGGCGAUUGACGUUACCCGCAGAAGAAGCACCGGCUAACUCCGUGCCAGCAGCCGCGGUAAUACGGAGGGUGCAAGCGUUAAUCGGAAUUACUGGGCGUAAAGCGCACGCAGGCGGUCUGUCAAGUCGGAUGUGAAAUCCCCGGGCUCAACCUGGGAACUGCAUUCGAAACUGGCAGGCUAGAGUCUUGUAGAGGGGGGUAGAAUUCCAGGUGUAGCGGUGAAAUGCGUAGAGAUCUGGAGGAAUACCGGUGGCGAAGGCGGCCCCCUGGACAAAGACUGACGCUCAGGUGCGAAAGCGUGGGGAGCAAACAGGAUUAGAUACCCUGGUAGUCCACGCCGUAAACGAUGUCGAUUUGGAGGUUGUGCCCUUGAGGCGUGGCUUCCGGAGCUAACGCGUUAAAUCGACCGCCUGGGGAGUACGGCCGCAAGGUUAAAACUCAAAUGAAUUGACGGGGGCCCGCACAAGCGGUGGAGCAUGUGGUUUAAUUCGAUGCAACGCGAAGAACCUUACCUGGUCUUGACAUCCACAGAACUUUCCAGAGAUGGAUUGGUGCCUUCGGGAACUGUGAGACAGGUGCUGCAUGGCUGUCGUCAGCUCGUGUUGUGAAAUGUUGGGUUAAGUCCCGCAACGAGCGCAACCCUUAUCCUUUGUUGCCAGCGGUCCGGCCGGGAACUCAAAGGAGACUGCCAGUGAUAAACUGGAGGAAGGUGGGGAUGACGUCAAGUCAUCAUGGCCCUUACGACCAGGGCUACACACGUGCUACAAUGGCAUAUACAAAGAGAAGCGACCUCGCGAGAGCAAGCGGACCUCAUAAAGUAUGUCGUAGUCCGGAUUGGAGUCUGCAACUCGACUCCAUGAAGUCGGAAUCGCUAGUAAUCGUAGAUCAGAAUGCUACGGUGAAUACGUUCCCGGGCCUUGUACACACCGCCCGUCACACCAUGGGAGUGGGUUGCAAAAGAAGUAGGUAGCUUAACCUUCGGGAGGGCGCUUACCACUUUGUGAUUCAUGACUGGGGUGAAGUCGUAACAAGGUAACCGUAGGGGAACCUGCGGUUGGAUCACCUCCUUACCUUA
rnacentral:rRNA from 1 species